UUCUCAUGCAAUAAAUGAGUGACAGUUGUUGAAGAUUACCGUGGGGCUGUCAAGAUCUGUGGGUCACCGAAACGUUGGCUGUUGUUUGGAUCAAAAUACAAGUUUGUAGUGUUUUACACGAAAAAGAUUCGAUCUUUGACGUGGGGUUAAUCUGAUUUAAUGAAGUUUGUUGUAUUACGCGAUAAAGAUUCAAUCUUUGAGGUGGGGUUGAUCUUAAUUGAUGAAGUUUCUCUAAGCAGCAGAUGAUAGUAUUAUUUAAUUUGUCAGAAGCACUUGAUUUUGUUUACUUGGAAAAAAAGACUUUGGUGCUUCUGUUGUAG
rnacentral:lncRNA from 1 species